UUAAUCACUAAAAGAAGAUUCGCUAUCUGAACUUUCUUCUACAGUUUUCUCACUUUCGCCAUCAGGCACUGGAGCAUCUGGCCUCCUAAAAGAAAAGAAAAAAAAAUUUCAAAGGUCUUUUCCAAUUGAAAAGAGCACUUACAAACUCUUAAAUUUGGUUCAUCUUAGAAUAUUGCUGCUAAUAAAUCUGCCAAGUCCGUGUCCUCAGUCUCCUGCUCUACACCACAGCGUGCUUCUCUCGGGCUUCUUGGGCACCAUGGGGAUUCAAUGCUAUGCCUGUAGAGGCCGCGACAGUAUUUUCUCUUGCCAGUCCUUACAUAGUGCGCUACUUCAGCACUUUCUGCUUCUCAUUACCAUGGAGACCCAAUUAUAGACAGAGAUGUGAUCUGUAGAGGCUGGCAUGACCAGUGCUAAGUCCCUGAAGCUUCCAAGUGUACAUGAGGUACAGAGAAAGGAAAGCUAGAAAUGAAAAGAAAAGGAAAUGCUUCAUGUUCAGGAAAGCUGCAGGGAGAAACUUAGAAAUGGAAGAGAGUUCAAAAAUGGCUAAUAAAAAAAUAGGUAAUGUGGAAAUUUUGUAGCGAAGGAGAGUGCCUGGUCGAAGAAGGUUCUUAAUGUUUGUUAAACGUUUUCACUUACAUGUUUUAUCUUUACAGAAUGAAAAUAGAAAGUAUGAGUUGGCAAAAAUACUGUUUCAAAGAUCCCCUAGGCAUUAUAAGGAGACAUGAGAAUGGUUAGAUUCCAACUUUGCAUGGAUGUGCUCUAAUAAACCAAAAUGAAAUUUUAAUGAUGUUAUUAAAACAGUCAACUAGUUAAGCCUCAAUAGUUUUGUGCCAGUAAGUCAUUUAAUCAGUGUAGUGGCAUUAUCACUUAGCCUCUAUUCACUCUUACCAAGAAAGUAAAUUAAGCAAGAAAAGUAUUUUUGGGGGGGAAACCAAGAGGAAAAGGAGUAACAAUAUAACUGCUACAUCUUUUUUUUUUUUUUUUUUUUUUUUUGAGAUGGAGUCUCGCUCUUGUCACCAGGCUGAAGUGCAAUGGUGUGAUCUCGGCUCACUGCAACCUCUGUCUCCCAGGUUCAAGCCAUCCUCUUGCCUCAGCCUCCCGAGUAGAGGUGUGUGCCACCACGCCCAGCUAAUUUUUGUAUUUUCAGUAGAGACGGGAUUUCACCAUGUUGGCCAGGAUGGUCUUGAUCUCCUGACCCUGUGAUCCACCCGCUCUGGCCUCCCAAAGUGCUGGGAUUAUAGAUGCGAGCCCGUGCCUGGCCUAUAACUGCUGUAUCUUAAUAAUUACAAACUACCAGACUGAUUUCUCCCUCAGGCUUGACUCUUAUUAAACAUUUAGGACACUUAAAAAUAAAACUCAUAUUCACCACAAACAGAAAUUACUAUUACUAAAAUAAGAAAAUGCACAGUCUAACAGUUACUUUAGGUAUUAAAAUUAUGGCUUAUAUUUUUAAAUAUAUUUGGCAUACUACAAAAGAGAAAAUAAUGCUGGCAUUGCUCCCUAGUUGUCAAAUAUAAACCCAUUUGCUCUGCUGAACAAUUUUAGAUUAUAUCUACAAGGAAGCAUUAUGUAGUCAAUACAGUGAAACUUUAAAGCUGGGUACAGCAGUUCCAGGAUUUGACUGAUGCUCCAUCUGCCUAAAAUACUAACAUGGGACCAUCAUCUUCCUCCCUUUUCAUUAGAAGCAACAACUCUAGAAUUAGUGGGUAUGAAUACUAGGCACAUUUUACCCAGUAAAUUUCUCUUUGCUAUAUAUUUGAUUUCUUACUGUCUAUACUUUGUUAAGUAGGAAAACAUUACCAGUGGGAAUUAUUUUAAUACCACAUCAAAAUUGUAUUAGUACCUAUGACAACUCAAACAAAUACAACAAUGUACAUAACUUCCUAAAAUAAAUGCUACUUUAGAAAAGGGUAGGCCAGGGAUGUCGAUUCAUGCCUGUAAUCCCAGCACUUUGGGAGGCCGAAGAGGGCGUUUUGCUUGAGCCCAGCAGUUCAAGACCAGCCUGGGCAACAGGGCAAAACACCAUCCUUUGCAAAAAAAUAGAGAAAUUAGCCAGUAGUGGCCUACUGUGCCAGCUACUUUGGAGGCUGAGGUGUAUCACUUGAGCCUGGGGGCAGAGGCUGCAGUAAGCUGUGACCAUGCCUGGGCACUCCAAUCUGGGCAACAGAGUGAAACCCUGUCUCAAAAAAAAAAGGAAAAGGGUAAAAGCAGCUUAGGACCAGAAGAAACUGAAACUAUAAAAUUCAUUAAUUUAUGUGUGUAACCAUUUAUUGAUACAUGUGAUGCUAUAUUACAUAGUAACUAAGAAUAUAGGCUCUGGGUACAGACUGUGCUAAAAUCCCAUCCUUGUUUCUUACUUGUUGGCCAACUUUGGGGAAGCUAUUUAACUACUUUGUGUCUGACUGAUUGAUUGGAUUUUGUGAUGAUUAAAUUAAUUAAUAAAUGUAAAGUGUGUUCGAUAAUAUCUGGCACAUAGUAUCAGAUAAAUAUUAUCUGCUGUUAUUAUGAUGAUUUAUUUUCAUCAUCAUGCAUCUACUAUUUGCUAGAAAAUGUGUUAGGUACUGGAGAUACAGAGAUGAAUAACAAGUAGUUCCUUCCCUGAAGCAGCUAAAAUUUUUGUGAGGGAGACAGAAAUGCAAACAAAUUGUUACAGAAUGUGAGACAGCCAUGUGCCACAUAAUGAUGUUUCAAUCAGUGAUGAACUGCAUAGGACGGUGGUCCCAUUAGAUUAUAAUGGAGCUGAGAAACCUCUAUCGCCUAGUAUUUACUAUACUGUACUUUCUGUUAUUUUAUUUUAUUUGACCAGAAGUCUCAUUCUGUUGCCCAGUCUGGAGAGUAGUAGUGUGAUCUCGGCUCACUGAAACCUCUGCCUUCUGGGUUCAAGAGAUUCUCCUGUCUCAGUCUCCUGAGUAGCUGAGACUACAGGCAUGCGCCACCACCCCUGGCUAAUUUUUUUACUUUUGGUAGAGAGCGGGUUUCACCAUGUUGGCCAGGCUGGUCUUGAACUCCUGACCUCAAGUGAUCCAUCUGCCUCAGCCUCCCAAAGUGCUGGGAUUACAGGCGUGAGCCACAGCGUCCAGCCUCUGUUGUUAUUUCAUUUUAUUUUAUAUUUUUUUCAACAGAGUCUUGCUCUGUCACCCAGGCUAGGGUGCAGUGGUGCAAUCUUGGCUCACUGCAAUCUCUACCUCCAGGGUUCAAGCCAUCCUCCUGCCUCAGCCUCCUGAGUAGCUGGGAUUACAGGCAUGCACCACCAUGCCCAGCUAAUUUUUGUAUUUUUAGUAGUGAUGGGGUUUCUCCAUGUUGGCCAGGCUGGUCUCGAACUCCUGACCUCAGGUGAUGCACCUGCCUCAGCCUCCUAAAGUGUUGGGAUUACAGGUGUAAGCCACUGUGCCUGGCCUCUGUUGUUAUUUUAGAGGGUACUCCUACUUACUUUUUGAAAAAAAAGUUAACGUUAAACAGCCUCAGGGAGGUCCUUCAGGAGAUAUUCCAGAAGAAGGCAUUGUUACAAUAGAAAAUAGCAGAUUCAUGCCUGUUAUUGCCCCUGAAGACCUUUUAGUCAGACAGGAUAUGGAGAACAGUCAUAUUGAUGAUCCUGACAUGACUAGGCCUUGUAUGUGUUUUAGUUUUUGGCAAAGAAGUUUAAGAAGUCAAAAUAAAAAGUUCAUAGAAUAAAGAUAUAAAGAAAGAAAAUAUUUUUGUAUAGCUGUAAAAUUUAUGACUUGUCUUUUAAGCUAAGUAGUAUUACAAAAUAGUUAAAAAGGUAAAAAGUUGAUAAAGUUAUAGUAAGCUAAGGUUAAUUUAUUAUUGAAAAAAUUUUUAAAAAUAAAUUUAGUGUAGUCUAAGUGUACAGUGUUUAUGAAAUUUACAGUGGUGUAUAAUAACAUCCUAGGCCUUCAUAUUCACUCCCUAUUCACUCACUAGGUGACCAGAGCAACUCCAGUCCUGAAAGCUCCAUUCAUGGUAACUGCCCUAUGCAGGUACCAUUUUUCACUUUUUAUACAGCAUUUUUACUGUACUUUUUCUAUGUUUAGAUAUGCUUAGAUACACAAAUACUUGUCAUUGUGUUACAAUUGCCUACAGUAUUUGGUAUAGUAAUAUGCUGUACAGGUUUAUAGCCUAAGUGUGUAGUACGCUAUACCAUUUAGGCUUGUGUAAGUACACUCUAUGACGUUUGCACAAUGACAAAAUCACCUACAAUGCAUUUCUUGUAACAUAUCCCUGUCCUUAAGCGAUGCACGGCUGUAUAUAUACAAAUAAGGCUGAACUGUUUGUGUGAAAAGAAAAAAUAGUCUGCUGAAGUCGGUCAGAGAAGACUCCAAAUAGUUGGAAACACUUGCGAAGAGUUUUGUGAUUCGAGUAAGACUUUGCCAGAAACAGAGAAGGCGGAAAUAAAAGAGAAUGACAGCAUUCUGGGUAAAGAAUAAAAUGGGAUGGUGUAGCAGGCUGCAUUCAGAAACUGUAAGUCAUUUGUUAGUUAGAGUGUAAAGUACACUGGGGUGCAACAGUAGAUGAGAUUAGAACAUCUAGCAGGAGCAAUAGGUGGAAACUCUCUUUAACCUUCCGAGGAACUGCCAAACUUUUCCACAGCAGCUGUACCAUUUUACAUUUGUACCUGCAAUGUAUGAGGGUUCCAAUUUCUCCACACCGUCAGCAACACUUGUUAUUGUCUGUCUUCAUUUUUUUCUUUUUUUAAUUUUUCUUAUUGUAAAAUACAGAUAACAUAAAAUUUAAUAUUGUAACCAUUUUUAAGUAUACGGUAGUGUUUAGUACAUUCACAUUGUUGUACAACCAUCAUCACCAUCCAUCUCCUGAACUCUCUUCAUCUUGCAAAACUGAAUCUCUGUACUCAUUUAAUAACAUUCCCUUAUCCGUCCAGCUGCUGACAACCACUAUUCUUUCUGUCUCUAUGAAUUUGACUACUCUAGAUGCCUCAUACAAGUGGAAUCAUAAAAUAUUUGUCCUUCUGUGAUAGGCUUAUUUCAUUUAGUACAAUGUCCUAAAAGUCCAUCUAUGUUGUAGCAUGUGUCAGAAUUUCCUUCCUUUUUAAGGCUGAGUAAUAUUCCACCGUAUGUAUAUACCAUAAUUGUUCCUAUUCAUCCACUGAUGGAUACUUACUUCCAUUGCUUCUAUCUUUUGGCUAUUGUGAAAAAUGCUGCUAUGAACAUGCGUAUACAAAUAUCUCUUUGAGACUCUGCUUUCAAUUCUUUUGGGUACAUCCCCAAAAGUGGAAGUGCUGAAUAAUUCUAUUUUUAAUUUUUUAAGGGAUCACAAUACUCUUUUCUGUAGCAGCUGCAUCAUUUUAUAUUCCCACCAACAAUGCACAGGGGCUCCAAUUUCUUCAUAUCCUUACCAGUACUUAUUGUCUUUGUUUGUUUAUUUAUUGGAGACAAGGUCUCAUUCUGUUGCCCAGGCUGGAGUGCAGUGGCACGGUCAGAGCUCACUAUAGCCUCAGCCUCCUGGGCUCAAGUGAUCCUCCUGCCUUAGCCUCCCAAGUACUUGGGACUGCAGAUACACUCUAUCGCGCCUGGCUAAUUUAACUUUUUGUAAAGAUGAGGUCUCACUUUGUUGCCCAAUCUGGUUUAGAACUCCUGGCUUCAAGUGAUUCUCCACCCUUGGCCUCCCAAAGUGUUGAGAUUACAGGCACGAGCCACUGCACCUGGCUCCUCAUUCAUUUUAUUAUUUAUUUAUUUAUUUAGAGAUGAAGUCUUAUUUAUUUAUUUAUUUAUUUAGUGAGGCUGGAGUGCAGUGGCACCAUCUUGGCUCACUCCAACCUCCACCUCCCAGGUUCAAGCAAUUCUCCCUGCCUUAGCCUCCUGAGUAGCUGGUAUUACAGGCGAGUGCCACCACACCCAGAUAAUUUUUGUAUUUUUUAGUAGAGACAGGGUUUCGCCAUGUUGGCCAGGCUGGUCUCGAAUUCCUGACCUCAGGUGAUCUGCUCGCCUCAGCCUCCCAAAGUGCUGGGAUUACAGGCAUGAGCCACCGCGGCUGGCCCCCUCAUUCAUGUUCAAAAAAUUGGAAUUGCCAGGAGAACAAAAGAAAAAGUGCAUACUAGUUCUCUUUGGGUACAAAAAAGAAAAGCAAGCCACAAGAAUCAAAUGAGGUAAUUUAUAGGAAAGCAUUUUAUAAGUUGUAAAGCCUUAUAAAUAUUACUAGUAAUAAUAAAACUCACAGCAAUACCAUCAUUUCCAGGCGGGAUAUUCAUAUUUUCAAGGGGAACAGAAAUUUGGCUCUGCAUAUUAUGAUCAUAAAUGUUCUUACUUCACCCUACAAGUUGUUUUUCAUGGAAAGAAAUUUUAAGACAUAUUUGAAAAAGUUGCUACCUUAAACUACUAAAGUUUAGCUUCUCCCAAUUCAAAGAAAACACACUUUACUACUAAAAUUUGGAAAUUAGGACUUUAUAAUAGUCUCUUGUUAUUUUAAAUACAUAAGUGAAUUUCCAAAAAAGAUUACAUCAACAAAAUACAGAAAAAUAUACAUCAUGAAUAUCAUGUAUAUUUUUUAAAAAUUUCAAUCUUUGGUGGUUACAAUAAAAACACUAGCUUGGUGGCUACAUUUUAAUAAGCAUAUUUAUAUUUGUGACACCAAAAUUAUCAGUAAAAUUCUUAACAAAAGCAAAUUUUUAAAAAGUUUAAGUUUAAGCUAAUUACUAAGUCUAAACUAUCUUAAAAAUAUAUAUCUUUUCAAAGAAGUUACUAGGUUGACCUCAACUAAAAAUGAGCCAAAAUAUACAAAGGCGCAGCAGGAAGGACGAAGUAUAUACAAAUCUGCCCUUUUUAGCAUACCAGAUGCUGUGCACAUUCUAAUUUUGACACCCGUUCUUCUCCCAUUGAUGUGAAUCAAUGAAGGUUGUCAACUAGAAUCCUUGCUGUCCUCAUCUUUUCCCUAUCCACUUCCUUGUUUCAGUCACACAGUCUAGGCCUGGCCAAUCACAGGAAUCUAUUCCCUUGGAGAGAGAGAGAGAUGGAUUCGAGGAAAGGCACACAAUUCAAGCAGGGCUAGUCAGAAUGUUUCCUUUUAAAUGAACUAUGGGUUAUGGAGAAGAGGGAACUCUCUCUCUGUUCAACUGGAAAAACAGCAAUAUUAAAGCCUUGCUGGGGAGCUAUGUUCCCAGGCUUCAGAGAGGAAACCCAUUAGCACUAGGAGAGACACGGUUUAUUACACCAAGGAAGUAAAGGUAGAAUGAGGUGGGGAGAGGAGAAUGCCAGUCAGCCAGCCCUGAUGACACUGAGUCCCUAGAUCCUGUCCUUACCUAGAUUUUUCAGCUAUGAGAGUCCAUAACUUCCCUUCUUAUAUAAGCUAGUUUGAGUUGGUUUCUGCCAUCCUAAAUAUGAAGAGAGUCCUAAAAUACCAUUAUUGUUGGUUUAAUUUGUUUUCAUUAGAGGAAGAUUUAUAUUUGUGUUUAAAACUAGCUACUUUAAGGACAGAAAAACCAAACAUUCUUUGGAAAAACAUGUAUGAUAAAGAGUUUAAAAACAUUUUUCAUUUUCUAGACACUUAAAGACACUGAAUUUAAAGCAGAUUAAGUAGCAAAAACAUUGUCAGUAAAAAUAUUGCUGAAUAGGAGAUGAUGAGGUAGUUAUUAUUCAAAUCACUGAUGGAAACUACACACACAUAAAGUUAUAAAGUCACAUGGUACUGUUGUCAAUUAAUGGUCUGUCAGAGCUAUGCGAUGGCAAUAGGUGGUCUUAAGAGAGUCAGGCGUGGUGGCUCACACCUGUAAUCCCAGCACUUUGGGAGGCCGAGGUGGGUGGAUCACCUGAGGUGAGGAGUUCGAGACCAGUCUGGCCAACAUGGUGAAACCCUGUCUCUACUAAAAAUAUAAAAAUUAGCCAGGCAUGGUGGCAUGUGCCUGUAAUCCCAGCUACUUGGGAGGCUGAGGCAGGAGAAUCGCUUGAACCCGGGAGGCAGAGGUUGCAGUGAGGUGAGAUUGCACCACUGCACUCCAGCCUGGGCGACAAGAGCAAAAUUCCAUCUCAAAAAACAAAAACAAAAACAAAAACAAAAAACAAACAAAACACCAAAACACUAAGAUUCUUGAACUGAGAUUGUAUUGACUUAAUAAGAACCUCUGGGUAAUUAAAAAUGUAACAAUUUUGAUUUUGAAUUAUAGCAGCUAGUGAGAUCAAUUUGGUCUUUUCUCUUUUGAAUUCUCAUCAAGACAGGUAUAUUCUGUUCUUUGUCUUAGUAGGUAGACUCCUGCAACCAGGAAAACAAUUUAAUGCCUAAUAUCAUGAAGAAAAAGAAAAGCAGCUGUUCUAGGUAGGAUGGACUUUUGCUCUUGAUCUUGGGAUCCUUUAUUUCCCAGCAGCAACUCUGUCACUUGCUUGCUAGCCACUCACAGACCACAACUGCUUUUUAACAUCUCCUCUUUGAUAUAUCUAUUAUCUCUCUCAUUCUUAUGAUCAAGUUCUCUAAAAGCAGACCAAUUACAAUUUUUUGAUAUGGUUUUUAUUUGUCCUAUACUUUCUAGCUAGUGUCUGCCAGCUAAUGAAUGAGGACUGGUAAUUACAUUAAAUGGAGAACCUAGCUCAGCAAAAACUAACAAAACGGAAACAGUAAAAACCCUAUUUUUGGAUGUCCAGUUGUGCAACUGAGAUCUAAUCUAUCCUCAACCGGCCAAAACUCAACCUUUAAUCCACUAUGUUGUUGUAUAGCAGGAGGUAAAGAUCCUCCUGGCAGAUAAGGAAUGAUCUUAGAGGGCAGGAAAAUCUGCUGGGCAUGCCAUGUAAAAAAAGUUUUUUGCUUUCCAGUAUCCUUUUGUUUAACAAUAAUAAAUCCCCUCUUGUCUCAGUGAUAAGUAGGCUAAGGUGGCUACUUUUAUUUCUGGCAACUAUAAGAGUGGUCAUUCCACCAUCUGGGAGGAUGGUAUAAAUGUCUUUUGGAUAGAUAUAUCCAGGAGAAAUGCCAACUGAGCUGGUUCUGUUCAAAGUCUGCAGAGUAACUUGAACUCAAUUAUAUGCUUUCUUUAGCCAAAUCAAUAAGCUGCACACUGCACCCUCCCACUAAGGUUAGGAGUAUGUUCAAUUGAAUUUCAAUUUCAGAAAUCUGUUCUUUACAGGAAAGUUAACAAUAUAGGUUCUCAGUUUGAGAAAACAAUAUAAUUUAAAAAGAUAACUACUCUGUAUAUGUUAAAUAUGUCUUUGUUGAGAACAUAAUAGUAUAUAGGCAACUACAGGAUUAUAAACAAGUUAUGAUCCAAAAGCCUGAUAAAUCCAUUGCCUAGAAUUUGCUACAUAUUCCUCCAUUAAAACAUUCAUAAAUCACAACUAAUAUUUAUUAAACAUUUACUGCUUAUCCAGAGCUGUGCUGAGUGCUUACAACAUUGUUUAUCUUAGUCUGAACAACUCUGUAAGGGAGUGAACUCUUCUAUUUCCCAUUUUACUGAUGAGAAAACUGAUGCACAGAGAGGUUAGGUAAUCAAACCAGGGUUACACAACUAGAAAGUGGCAAGUAAUACAAGUAGGUAGACCAUCUGAAUACAAGUAAGUAGACCAUCUCUAAAGCCGGCCUUAUCCUGAGCCUUAACUAUCAUGAAUUUCAUGGCUUGCUGAUGGGCAAGUCCAGAAGCUAGUCUGUUUAUCCUAGAAUUGUAAAAGUAGCAAUUACUAGGUAACAACAGUAAUGUUAGUUCAGGGACAUAAAUGUAAGUGUACAGACCAGGAUGGGGUGAAACUUUUUUCUUUUUUUCUAAGCAAGAAAACCUAGGCAAUGAUUGAAAGAAUAUUUAAGGCGCGAUAUACCCAUUCUAUAUUUCUGAAUGUAUUAACCUUUGGCCAAAGACCAAUUAAAAUUUUCCAUUUUCCCCUUAACUCUUUUGAGUAUUUUGGUGACAAAUAUUCUUUCACAUAUCUUUUUAUCUCGGUGGUACUGAAAUUAAUUUUUAGAAGCUAAACAGGACUAAUUCUUGGUUAUAUAUAAAUGAUUAUUUUCAAAAACUUGAAUUUUUAAAAACAAACAAUCACUUAGAAGAAUCAAAUCCAAUAUUUAUUUAGUAAUUAUCAGGCAUUUUCUACAGUUUUAUAGAAUUCCUAAAAUUCUGUAAUAGUCAUUUUUCUAGGAAAAUUGCCAGGAUCUCUUCUCCCUUAUCAUGUAAAUAUUUUUGAUUUAAAAUUAUGUACUCUCAGCUUCCAAUUUUAUACACAUAAGCCAAUCAACUAUAAAUAUUUUUCUGAUCAGUAUUUAUUUCUAUAUUAACCUCAGUUUUGCCCUUUGCUCAGUGCAGAUAGAGGUAGGCCAUUUCUUCCAACAGUUAUAUGAGUUUGUCUUACUACCUAAAGCUAAUAAAAAAUAAAGUGUAUGUUUAUACUUUAAAAGAAAAAAGAACACAGAACAAUCUUUACUGAAAGUUCUUGGCUGAGGCUUAAAAUGUACCUAAGAUUCUAAAUAAAAGUGUACUCUUCCCUUGGAUGGCACAUUUUCUUCUCUUUCAUCAUCUCAUACUUUUCUCCUGAAGUGAGGCUCCGUAACUUUUAUGUAAACAUGAUUCCAAAAGCAUCAUAAUUCCUCUGUUAACACGGUAGUUGACUGCACUUAUCACAUCUAGCUAAAUGCAGUUGAAACUGGGUUGCUAGUAGUGGUGAUAGGUUACAUUGAGUCACCCCCACUCCAACCAGUGCCCCUGGUGACCAAUGGCAUGUGCAUAUGAGGUAAUGGGGCAGAAUUCAGGCUCUAGGCUGUGGUUGAGGAGCAGCUUUUCUGUAAGACAAUGUUAAUUGUUACUGGAAUUCUACCCUUAAACUUGGCACUACCUCACAACUGAAUGUUUCUCAACAUUCAUAGACAACGAAAUACCCUCAAACUGGCCAAGUGAGACACAAGGAAAUGUUGAAGGGCCUGGGAUCUUCCUCCGUGGUAGUUACCUAUGGACUCUAUCAGGUGGUGAUACCUGAUGGAGUCUUAAAGAAUAAUAGGUUAGCCAGGCCAGUAAGAUGAGGGAAGGGAGUUCCACAGAGAGAAAGGAAAACAUUUAACGACACCAAAAGGGAAUAGGAAAAUGUUACAUUCAGGGAACUGCAAGUAGUUUGCUAUGGCUAUAUGAAAUAGGCAUAUGUGAAAGAAUCACAAGAGAGGAAGCUAGUGAGAGAAUCUGAAUCUUGAUGAUAAAACCAUUUCUAUGCAAUACUAAGAUGUUAGACUACACGUUGAAGGCAGUGGAGAGUCACAGGAAGAUGUGAAGCAAGAAUGAAGUAUGAAGAGAUCCACUCAGGCUUUAGUGGAUGGCUUGAAAGAGAACAGGAAAACCAAUCAGUAGCUACUAUAGUAAUUCAGAUUACAAACGAUGAGGGCGUGAACUAAACGGCAAUGGAUAUGGAGGCAUAUGGUGAGAUGUGAGAGAUAUUAAAAAUGAGAACAUCAUAGUGAUUGACACUGUAGUGGGUAAGGAAGAAGACAGAAUCAAGGAUGAUUAUCAAGUUGCUAGUGCAGGUAGCUGGCUGAAGUAAAGGAUUAUGAAGUAGGUUUAGGCUGGACAGGGGAUGAAAUGAAGCCAGUAGCAGGUAAAAGGCUUGGAUAUCCAGCAUAUGCUGAUGCUUAUAGGGUGCUAGUUUUCCAUUUAUUAUAUUUUCUCUAGAAAAAGAUAAUCAUUUUAAAGGUAAUUUUAGCUCUCUGUUAUUAUAGGAGGUCUAACUGUGUAUUUCCAGAAGCAAAAGGAGGUCACAGUUAAUGUUAAAUAUAUUUACAACCUAUAUAUUGCAAUGAAUACCAAAAUGGAUUGAACCUAUAUGUCUGAUUCACAUUAAAAUACAUAUCACAAGCCGUCUGGCUUUUAAAGUCUGUGUCAGGAACAAUUUCCACAACAAAUGCCAAAUAUCUCGGAGAUGCUUCAGUUCAAGCUGCCAAGCUAUGCCAUUGUACUUGAACUGUUUGCUACUUGGAUGUAUGCCAAAUGUAGAUAUAUGUUUGAAAUUUGUUCUUGUAGACUUUAAAAGAAUUCAUAAAUUUCAUAUUUUGGCAGAUAAAAUAUGAGAAAAAGACUACUUCAUAAUGUUUUACCUCCAAAGUGUACACAUUUUCUUGGAGGACUGAGAGCCAAGAAAAAUUCCAAAGUAUACUGCUAGUACAGUAAUGAAUGCUUAGAGUGCACAGCUAAAUACAUUGGGGUGAACUACAGCCCCAAAUUGGAAAGAUUCUUUACAAGUACCUAGAUACUUGCAAAACAGAAUUCUUCUGAAGAAUGCAUUACGAUAUAUUUUAUCCAAGAUGAACUAUACAGCCAGAUUUGCUUGGAUGAAAUAAACUGUUGUCAAAUUUCUGAGCCACAAUUUUUUUUUAUCAUUUCUCAAAAAUAUUUUAUAAAAUUCACACAAUAAGGGAUUAAAUACUUUAAGGUUAAAAAAAACUCACAUAAAUUAGUAUCUAGUUUCUUAAUAACCAUUAACAUAGACCCAGAACAGCUUUAGCCUAUUUAUUUCUCAAUCUGGCUUAACCUAGAUUAUAGCAGACUAAAUUUCCUACAAACUAAGAUCUUACAUGAAAUCAUCUACCCCCUGGUACAUAAUAAUCACCCCCCCACCAAAAAAGCACAAACCAACAAAUAAACAAAAAAACAAUCAAGCCAAGAAAGAGGUAGCACAAAAAGGAAAAAAAAAAAAAAAGCAAAAAAAAUUGUCAUUAAAUUCCAGCUCCUUUGGAUAUCUAGAAUAAUUACUAAUCUAUUGAAACUGUUCCUAAAAUGUGUAAAGGCUGGUCUUAGUAGAAUAUGAUAUUUUUCUGUUUGGUAACAUAACAGACACACUAUUUACAAAGAUGAUAUCCUCAACCAUAAAACACUGUAGGAAUAAAAAUACAGAGAAUUUGAAAUAUUUUUAUUAUAACUGACAAAUUCAAUGUCCUGGCAAUAAU
rnacentral:lncRNA from 10 species